AGAGAAAAGCAUGUUGUCCUAUUUUUUCUACUAAUAAUAAUGUUGUGGGUAAAUUCUUUUAGUAGUGGAAUGUAAGAAUUUAUUUGAAACCUGCUAUUCUUGCGUACAAUUUUGUUUUCAAUUCACUAAGGAAAGUCCAAAUUUGGAGUUUGGUGGUAAAAACAAAAAUCAAACCUUUAUGUUGAAUGCUAUUUUUGAAUAUCUUGAAAAAAAUAUUAACAGGCUACAAAGA